rnacentral:rRNA from 1 species
UACGUAGGGUGCGAGCGUUGUCCGGAAUUAUUGGGCGUAAAGAGCUUGUAGGCGGUUUGUCGCGUCUGCUGUGAAAAUCCGGGGCUCAACCCGGACUUGCAGUGGGUACGGGCAGACUAGAGUGUGGUAGGGGAGACUGGAAUUCCUGGUGUAGCGGUGAAAUGCGCAGAUAUCAGGAGGAACACCGAUGGCGAAGGCAGGGUCUCUGGGCCACUACUGACGCUGAGAAGCGAAAGCAUGGGGAGCGAACAGGG